CGACGUGAGAAUCUGCCUUCAGGUUCGGGACAACAGCUGGAAACGGCUGCUAAUACCGGAUGUGCCGAGAGGUGAAAGCUUUAGUGCCUGGAGAUGAGCUCGCGUCUGAUUAGCUAGUAGGAGUGGUAACGGCACCCCUAGGCGACGAUCAGUAGCUGGUCUGAGAGGAUGAUCAGCCACACUGGGACUGAGACACGGCCCAG
rnacentral:rRNA from 1 species